rnacentral:rRNA from 1 species
CACCUGCAUUAUUUGACGUUACCUACAGAAGAAGCACCGGCUAACUCCGUGCCAGCAGCCGCGGUAAUACGGAGGGUGCGAGCGUUAAUCGGAAUUACUGGGCGUAAAGCGCAUGCAGGCGGCCUGUUAAGUCAGAUGUGAAAGACCCGGGGCGUUAACCUCGGAAUUGCAUUUGAAACUGGCAGGCUAGAGUCUUGUAGAGGGGGGUAGGAAUUUCAGGUGUAGCGGUGAAAUGCGUAGAGAUCUGAAGGAAUACCAGUGGCGAAGGCGGCCCCCUCGGACAAAGACUGACGCUCAGAUGCGAAAGCGUGGGGAGCAAACAGGAUUAGAUACCCUGGUAG